UACGGGGGGGGCAAGCGUUGUUCGGAAUUACUGGGCGUAAAGGGCUCGUAGGUGGCCAACUAAGUCAGACGUGAAAUCCCUCAGCUUAACUGGGGAACUGCAUCCGAUACUGGAUGGCUUGAAUCCGGGAGAGGGAUGCAGAAUUCCAGGUGUAGCGGUGAAAUGCGUAGAUAUCUGGAGGAAUACCGGUGGCGAAGGCGGCAUCCUGGACCGGCAUUGACGCUGAUGAGCGAAAGCCAGGGGAGCAAACGGG
rnacentral:rRNA from 1 species